GCAAAAUGGGGGCAGGCGACCGCGGUAAUGCAGGGGGUGGGGGGGUUAAUCGGAGUUGUUGGGCGGAAAGUGGGCGGAAGUUGGUAAAUAAUUCAAAUGUGAAAUCCCCGAGCGUAACUGGGGAAUUGCAUUCGAUACUGGUUGGCUAGAGUAUGGGAGAGGAUGGUAGAAUUCCAGGUGUAGCGGUGAAAUGCGUAGAGAUCUGGAGGAAUACCGAUGGCGAAGGCAGCCAUCUGGCCUAAUACUGACACUGAGGUGCGAAAGCAUGGGGAGCAAACAGGAUUAGAUAACCCUGUAGUC
rnacentral:rRNA from 1 species